rnacentral:rRNA from 1 species
UACGUAGGGUGCAAGCGUAGUCCGGAAUUAUUGGGCGUAAAGAGCUCGUAGGCGGUUUGUCGCGUCGGCUGUGAAAGCCCGGAGCUCAACUCCGGGUCUGCAGUCGAUACGGGCAGACUUGAGUGUUGCAGGGGAGACUGGAAUUCCUGGUGUAGCGGUGAAAUGCGCAGAUAUCAGGAGGAACACCGGUGGCGAAGGCGGGUCUCUGGGCCGUUACUGACGCUGAGGAGCGAAAGCGUGGGGAGCGAACAGG